CUGGAAUCACAACCUGAGCCGAAGGCAGAUGCUUAAGUGGCUGAACCACUCAGCUGCUAUUCUGGAUGGAUUGCAUGGAUUAUUUGAGAGGCCUAUGAGGAAAUAAGAACUCAAAAAUGUUGAAUGACUUUCUGGCAACUGACAAGAUGUGGAUUUGAAGUCAGGCUGGUUUGUCAGCCCAUUCUCUUAAUUUCACAUUGAUGAAAAGAGAGGAGGGGGGCCACGGGGACAUGGCAACACUGCACCUUUCAUCAACCGCCAUCAUGAGGGAUAAAUGAAGAUCGUUCCAUUUAACCAGGCUAUCUACAGGUUGAGUCCCUGGAACAACACAGAGCUCCAGGUUUAUUCCUUCCUAGGGGAGGAUGGAGCAAGACCUCGGGAAUGGCAUUCUCACAUUCGCCCCGGGUAGCUAAGGAGCUGGACCUCCUCAGUAAUUCUGUUGUGUAUCCCAGUCACCGACGGGGCCUGUGAAAAUGAAAGGUGCCAAAGAGGACCACUGUAUGAUUCGGCAAUCCCACUCUGGGUGUUUAUCUGAAAGAAUGGAAAGCAAGGUCUUGAAGAGAUAUCUGCGCACCCAUAUUCAUGGCAGCAUUAUUCACAGUAGCCGAAAGGUAGAAGCAACCCGACUGUCCACUGACGGAUGAAUGGAUAAACAAAUUGAGAUAUAGAGCCAUGG